UAGAGUUUGAUCCUGGCUCAGGACGAACGCUGGCGGCAUGCCUAAUACAUGCAAGUCGAGCGGAGAAACUGGAGCUUGCUCCAGUUUCUCAGCGGCGGACGGGUGAGUNACACGUGGGCNACCUGCCCUGCAGAUNGGGAUAACUCCGGGAAACCGGUGCUAAUACCGAAUAGUUUGAGGCCUCUCCUGAGGCGUCUCGGAAAGACGGUUUCGGCUGUCACUGCAGGAUGGGCCCGCGGCGCAUUAGCUAGUUGGUGGGGUAACGGCCCNCCAAGGCGACGAUGCGUACCGACCUGAGAGGGUGACCGGCCACACUGGGACUGAGACACGGCCCAGANUCCUAUCGGGCGCAG
rnacentral:rRNA from 1 species